rnacentral:rRNA from 1 species
AUGUUUAACAUAUAUACCUUUGUCAUUGAUCUGAAGGAAGCAAUUAAAGUGGCUCAACCAUCAUUGAUAAGGGAAGGAUUUUCCUCUAUCCCUGAUGUCAAAUGGACUGAUGUUGGAGGUCUUGAUUCUUUAAAGCAAGAACUUGAUCGCUGCAUCGUCCGGUGUAUCAAGCACCCUCAACUUUAUAAGAAAUUUGGAGUGGAUAUGCAAGAUGGUUUUUUGCUAUUUGGGCCUCCGGGCUGUGGGAAAACACUAAUAGCAAAAGCAGUUGCACACGAUGCAGGGGCUAAUUUUAUUUACAAAAAGGGGCCUGAGCUGUUAACCAAAUAUGUUGGGGAGAGUGAAUCAGGAGUAAGGAAAAUAUUCGCCCGUGCACGGACGAACUCCCCAUGCAUAAUAUUUUUUGAUGAGAUAGAUGCCUUGACAACAAAAAGAGGGAAUGAGGGAGCAUGGGUUGUUGAACGUGUCGUGAACCAGUUACUUACUGAACUUGGUAGUAGUUCUGAUCAAGGUGUUUUUGUUAUUGGAGCUACAAACAGAACUGAUGCGAUAGACGAUUCUCUUCUACGGCCUGGUAGAUUUGGGAGGAAACGUUGUGUACCUCUACCUGGUGCUAAUGAGCGUGCUUCAAUACUCAAAUCACUAGCAGGUUCCGGGAAAAAACCACUCUCCCCCAGUGUCGAUUUGGAUGCACUAGCUCGCCGUGAGGAGUGCAACAAUCUCUCCGGUGCUGACCUAGCAUCACUGAUGAAUGAAGCAGCCAUGGAAGCUCUGGAAGAUAGAUUGGGGUCAGGUUUGGGUGAGUCGAUUGAACUCUCGCACUUUGAGCGAGCACUAUCCAAAAUAAAGCCGUCAGUGUCAGAACAGGUGCAGGCCGACAUUCUAAUCGAUCAUCUCUCGUUUUGCUUACCCCUUUUAUGUAGCAGCAUAUGCAUGCCUUACAUUUUACUUUUGUUGGUGUGGCAGCAAAGGAAAUUCUACGACGCCUUGUGGAAGAAAUAG